GGAAGGUGCAAGCGUUAAUCGGAAUUACUGGGGCGUAAAGCGCGCGUAGGCGGCUAGAUAAGUCGGUGUGAAAGCCCUGGGCUCAACCUGGGGAACUGCAUUCGAUACUGUCUAGCUAGAGUGUGGUAGAGGGAGGCCGGAAUUCCGCAUGUAGCGGUGAAAUGCGUAGAGAUGCGGAGGAACACCAAUGGCGAAGGCAGCCUCCUGGACCAACACUGACGCUGAGGCGCGAAAGCGUGGGGAGCAAACAGGAUUAGAUACCCUGGUAGUCCACGCCGUAAACGAUGUCAACUAGCCGUUGGGAGCAUCUUGGCUCUUGGUGGCGUAGCUAACGCGAUAAGUUGACCGCCUGGGGAGUACGGUCGCAAGAUUA
rnacentral:rRNA from 1 species